rnacentral:rRNA from 1 species
GACGAACGCUGACGGCGUGCUUAACUCAUGCAAGUCGAACGGAAAGGCCCUGCUUUUGUGGGGUGCUCGAGUGGCGAACGGGUGAGUAACACGUGAGUAACCUGCCCUUGACUUUGGGAUAACUUCAGGAAACUGGGGCUAAUACCGGAUAGGAGCUCCUGCUGCAUGGUGGGGGUUGGAAAGUUUCGGCGGUUGGGGAUGGACUCGCGGCUUAUCAGCUUGUUGGUGGGGUAGUGGCUUACCAAGGCUUUGACGGGUAGCCGGCCUGAGAGGGUGACCGGCCACAUUGGGACUGAGAUACGGCCCAGACUCCUACGGGAGGCAGCAGUGGGGAAUAUUGCACAAUGGGCGGAAGCCUGAUGCAGCAACGCCGCGUGCGGGAUGACGGCCUUCGGGUUGUAAACCGCUUUCGCCUGUGACGAAGCGUGAGUGACGGUAAUGGGUAAAGAAGCACCGGCUAACUACGUG